UGUCAUUCUCUGCCCGCUGCGCAGGGCGAGCGCUCGCUGCACGCGGGCGAUGCCCAGGCCGCCUGGGUAGGCGAUCGAGGGGCUCGGUGAGUCCCAGGGGGCUCGGCUGGAACUCCCUGCGUGUCCUGAUUGAGUCCCGAUUCCCCGGGAGCAGGAGCCACGCAGCCCCAGGAGCUCCCGGUUGCAGCUUCUUGUAACCGCCGCCGGGCGGUGCGCCUGGCAGGUUUGGUGGUGCCCAGCGCCGGGCACUUGGUUGGCAGAACCCAGGCAGUGGUGCAAAGCAGAUUGUCCUCUUUGCACCGCCACCAGCUCAGUGCCAGACCAGAAAGGCCCUUGGCGAGCUGGCAAGCUGGCAAGCAAGCGCUGGAUGCCUGCAAGACUCCCUGGCAUUUGUGCCCGGAAUAUCCACAGUUCUUCAGAUUUCAGCAGUUCAGCAUGCAAGUUUGUUGAGGAUAACGUGAUUAUAAGGCCAAGUAAGAAGAAAACACUCUCACCAAGACUGUUCAAAGGGAAUACAUUCUGAACACUUACUUGGACAAACAUUUCUCAAAGGUAAAUAUUAUCAUUG